ensembl:lncRNA
AGGGAACAUUACUGUGAUUAAUGAGCCCUCUUGCUUUAUCCUACUGCAGCCCUUGAACAAGUUUUCUGGGUCUGACCAUGUGCCAUGUUUAUCAAUGUCCUAAGACUUGAGCAGUGUGUAACACUUGAGACAGAACUACAUUGUGGGAGUUAAAUUGCAGUGCUCCAGAGAAAAUUUGCAUCAUGCCAAGCCAUACUAGAUUCUAAUCUUUUGAACAUUGUUAAAGGGAGAUCCCCUGUACAACUGCCAACAGAGUCAGUGGGAAUUUGAGAUGAGUAGGGUUCCUGUUGAGAUCUAUAAUGGGAGAGCACCGUUAUAGACAUGGUUGUCUUAAGACCAUCAAGUAUUCAUUCAGUCUUUAGUGAAACUAGUUAUCAAAGGGACCUGGCUCCUCUUUCCCUACUGAAGACCAUUCUUAGCUCUAGAUGCAGGCGUUUGUGUUUGCCCACAUCUUUUGCUGUCACAUUUCUGAAAUGACAGUGGAUUGUUUACAGAGCCCCGUAUUUUGCUGUUGAUGUAUAGAAGCACUUCUGCAAGUAAUAUUACACAAGUAUUUCUGUCUUAAAGAGUAGCCCUUCAAAAGUUUGUAAAGUUGAAGAUGAGGACUGAAUUUUUUUUCUUGUUUCCUAUUGUCCUGGCAGCAGAUUGUUAUGAAUUUACUAUUUUAAGAAACCAGUUAAGUUAGUUUUACUUUUAUUUGUAGCUUUUAAUUUAAGUCUUGACAGACCAUGCCAGAAACUUGCAUCUUCCCAGAAAUACUUGUCCUAAAUUACCCAGAAGGCAGUUGAAAACCCUUGAUGUGGCUUUGAGUUUUGAGUUUCACAUUAAAAAAAAAAAAGGGCAAGUAUUUUGUUCUUUUUAGUUUGUUAGCAAACACUGCAUACAUGUCUCACUAGUACAUGCAAAGCAUGUCCUGAAGCAGGAAUUCUUUCUGUUUCCAGAGGAAAGUUCUUUCUCCAUCUAAGGGAUAAAAAUCUUUACUGAUGAUGUGGAAGGUUCAGUUGUAAGGAAUUGCUGUCUUAGAUUUUAGUGUACUGAACAAAAGAGAACCAUUAUUCUCUAUAUACCAAGUACCUCUAUGAGCACAUUUCUUGAUUAUUUUUUUUCCAACUAAAAACUUCCAUAGCAAAUCAUUUGUGUAAAUCAUUGUGAGGAACUUGAUUUGGAAACCAGGGAUUUAUUAGUCUCCCCUUAUGCUGAUCCUCGUGCCCUUUCCUUGUGAACAUGUUGCGAUAGUCUCAGAUUGCUCUGCUUUCACAGAGUGGCUUUCCAGAAUGUUUCCUGGAAUCUGUUCAUUUGUAGUAACUCUUCCUACUUUGAAGCACAAAAAGAAUUUCUGAAGACUCAGUUUUGGCAUUUGUGUUUACCUUUGUCUUCCUGAGCUAGGUGCUGUGCUAAGUAUCUUCUACUUAGCAUUGAUGCUUGAUGUCAUUAGCCUGUGGGUAUGCGUCAGUCUUACUCGUGAGUUUUGUUGUACAGGGGAAUUAAAUAACUUCUGGUUGUAAGAGACAGUGUGAAGAAGAGUUAAGGACUGUUAGUCCUUAGUGUGUGAUACAAAGCUGACGAUGUUAAGCAGCAGAACUUACCCAGAGCAAGAAAAAUGUCUUAGCAUGGACACUAUUUUCUUCUUCCAGUAGAAAUGUGACUGCUAGAUUGUGCUCUGCUUGAUCAAAACCUCUGCAGAUCUGCCACCACCCAUGUGACCUCUUAGUGAGUUGCUAUAGUUCUGCAUUGGAUGGCACAUUUUUGCGUAGAAAUUCCCUUGUUAAUGAGAACACUGAAUGUGCUGUUUUGAUAAAAUGCUUUUGUCAGCUGAUACUCAUUGUUUUCAGCAGGAAAUGUUGGAAUGUUUCAGCAGGAAAUGUUUCUCUUCAGUAUCAUCUGUGAGCUUCAUUGUGCAAUUAAUCAAAUGGUUACAUCUUCACCUAGCAGUAGAACCCAUUGUGUUCAGUAAGUCUUCAUACCGCUUUCCUAGUGUGCCUGGGCAGAGAUUAAAAAACAGAGGGAAAAUGAUACCUGAAGUUGCAAGAGGGAUGUGGGGCAUGGGAGGGUGGGGGGUGUACGUGUCAAACUUUGUGUGCCUAAAAAUUGCCCUGAAAUACCUGUAGCAUGAGAUACAAAGUAAAGCCAGGACUGCCUUUUGGAAAGAAAUGUUGUACCUCCACGCUUUAUAAUACUAUGAAUCACUGUUCUCCUGUUGGAAGAGAAAAUAGUGAAAUGUGGUUUCCCAUCUGAGAAACUUAGUGAUUUGCUGCAUAAAAGGGAACAGUGUUUACUUGCUUGGCAGUAUCCUCCACAGUGGGUAAGAAAUAGGAAGAGACUACUGUCAGGAUUUAAAUCUUAUACUUCCACUAAACAUCUUAAUUUCUUACUGUUCUUUAUUGAGUUUCUAAUUCUCCAGCCUUAUGUUUCUGGGUCCAGGGGACUGAUUUGUUUUAAACUAGUUUCCUUGGUAGGUAGAGAAUGUAUUAGAGGGAUGCUGGUGUUCUUAAAAUUGCAAAGCUUGUGCUGGGGAAGCUACACCUUCCCCCAUUUUAGUGAAUUGAGUUCCAUUCAUUGUUCGUUUGCAGUCUGGGCUUUUUUCUUUUAUACAUCCUUCUUGGAAGUGUGACUCCCUCACAAAAUAUGGCCAAGUCAUUUUUGCCUUGAAAAGCAAGAUUUCUAGAGAAAAUCAAUUUCCCAGAAACUGUUAUUUAUUCUUCGCCAUCUUAAUAAGCAGGAAAUAUAGUGCCUUAGGAGGAAAGUGGGAUAACUAUGGAAUACUCCGCUGGUAUUAUACACAAUCUGCACAUAGCAUUGUAUCAAGGAGGCUUGCAUUUUAACUGUGAAGUGUCACUGUAUGCUUGAGAGCAGCUAUUGAAUUGAGCUGAGUUCUCCUGUCUGUCUUCCAAAAUUGCAUAUAAUGCUGGAAAGUAUGGCUUAUGGCCUAAGAGCUAAUAAGCUCUCAUCUGGGGAGGGGGGAAUAUUCUUGCCCUUCUUUCUGAUAGGGACACUGUAUUGUCGCAUUACUCUGAUACUUGCUGGGGAACUGCUGAAUCACAUCUCUCUGUAACUGGUCAGUAGUAUAGUUUUUCUUGCCUUCCCCACUAAAAA